rnacentral:rRNA from 1 species
AUUGAACGCUGGCGGCAUGCCUAAUACAUGCAAGUCGAACGAGUGGCGGACGGGUGAGUAAUGUCUGGGAACCUGCCCGAUGGAGGGGGAUAACUACUGGAAACGGUAGCUAAUACCGCAUACCCUCGGAUGUGCCCAGAUGGGCUUGGCUAGUAGGUGGGGUAAAGGCUCACCUAGGCGACGAUCCCUAGCUGGUCUGAGAGGAUGACCAGCCACACUGGGACUGAGACACGGUCCAGACUCCUACGGGAGGCAGCAGUGGGGAAUAUUGCACAAUGGGCGCAAGCCUGAUACAGCCAUGCCGCGUGUAUGAAGAAGGCCUUAGGGUUGUAAAGUACUUUCAGCGGGGAGGCGUUACCCGCAGAAGAAGCACCGGCUAACUCCGUGCCAGCAGCCGCGGUAAUUC